GGUUCCAUGGUGUAGUGGUUAGCAUGUCUGCUUUACACUCAAAAGGCCCUGGGUUCAUUUCCCUGUGGAUCCA
rnacentral:tRNA from 1 species